rnacentral:rRNA from 1 species
UACGAAGGUCCCAGGCGUUAUCCGGAUUUAUUGGGUUUAAAGGGUGCGUAGGCGGGCUAUUAAGUCAGUGGUGAAAUCCUGUUGCCCAACAACAGAAUUGCCAUUGAUACUGAUGGUCUUGAGUACAUUUGAAGUGGGCGGAAUGUGUCAUGUAGCGGUGAAAUGCUUAGAUAUGACACAGAACACCGAUUGCGUAGGCAGCUCACUAAACUGUAACUGACGCUGAGGCACGAAAGCGUGGGGAGCAAACAGG